GACAUUCAUAGAAUACAUCCUGGCACUCACACAAAAACAAUCGGAGGUAGAUGCUAUUACAUUCUUUCAGGGUUAUGUUACGUAGCAAACUGCAAGUUUAUAAAUGUCAUCCCAUUAUGUAUGAGCUGAAAAAAAUGUAUAUUAAAAACACGUCCUUGAAGACACAGGAGAGUGGGAUGUGCCCAUGUGAAGUGACUCAAAAGCCCUUAAAGAACCUGCAGCUCAGAUGGUGAGACACUAACUGUUUAGGCAAAUAAAUAUGAUUUUUGGACAGAGAGAAAAGCUAGAAAGAUAAUGCGCCAGAUUGUAGGUUGGAGGGUCAUCUGAGAGCUCUCUGAGAAGGUGACCUUUAGAUGAGCCCCAGAAAGUGAGAAUAAACUGUCCAGGUGAAGACCAAGUUAGGACCCUACUGGUCAGUGGCAAGAACAAGUGCACAGACCCUGCUGUGCUCCCCUAGGGGGACGGAGCCGGCCAUUCCAGGGCUGGAGAGCGAGGUGGACAGAGUCGGGGAGGGGGAGAGGCCCCUGGGGACAGGGGUGUCGGGCUUGAACCGCAGUGACACAGAGUGAGGAGUGCCUUCUGACUGAAAGAAUUGAGGCAGCCGAGGGCAGCCGUGCCCCUUGCUUGGCCUGGGUUGGCAUGAAGGGCACCUCAGUCAGGCUGAGGCAGGCCACUUCCCACGAGGACUAAAGCAGCUGGCUUCCCAGGGACGCCAAGCGCACAAGCACAGGUGCCCUUUGGGUGGCUUCCUCAGCAUCUUAAGACAGCUUGCAGCGAUGAUUUUGCCUUGGAUUUGCAGAAUAAACAAAGGCUUUGUCGAGCCUCUGGUUUGAGGUAAUAAGUCACUAAAGCUGUGUUUGCACACUCCUCAACCACCGUGCAGCGUGGAUUCCCUCUGCAGCUUCACCCCACUUUUCGUUUGCUGGUUUGCUUCAAACAUGUCAUGUUUUCACAUAACAAAACACGCAUACACACUUCAUCCCAUUUAAUAUUUAAUUCAAACACAAUGCUUACCAUUCAAAUAAAAUGUUUACAUGUAUGAAUUUUUAUAUCCCCUUAGGAGAGUAUUUUGGAAGAUACGUGAAUCCCUGAUAGUACACGGUGGCAUUUCAAAUGGUACACAGAUAAACUUCUUAACAAUUUAAUUGUAAUGUGUUUAUUUUAAUGUGUAGUUUUCAUAUAAAAUGAGGGCCAAAUCAAACCAGCAAUUUGGUAGCUAUUAUUGCUAGAUUUUUACUGUCAGUUAUGAUCUAAAAUUUACUGUUCAGAUGCAUUUAUUUAAGAAGUGAGUUUAUUUAAAGAAAGCAUAAUGGUACAAGAGGUACUCGUAUAACGUGCAACGGCAACACUGAAGAAGGAAGUGCAGAAGGGCUGAGGUUUGCAAGACCCCGUCCCCUGGAAGAAAUCGUGUCAUCUUCUGGCAUUUCUCUUAAGUUUGUCUCCCUCCCAGUUUUUUAUCUGAUGUCACAUUGAGAGCAAAGCCACAGACUCAAGUUGUUUUGCUCAAAAGGUGGUUUAAAUCAUUUUUUAAAAUUUGCCUACUAUUGAAAUUCCUGUCGUGGCUCAGCAGAAAUGAACCUGACUGGUAACCAUGAGGACACAGGUUCCAUCCCUGGCUUCGCUCAGUGGGUUUUGGAUCUGGCAUUGCUGUGAGCUGUGGUGUAGGUCACAAAUUCAACUUGGAUCCCGCAUUGCUGUGGCUCUGGUAUAGGCUGGCAGCUGCAGCUCUGAUUUGACCCCUAGCCUGGGAACCUCCACGUGCCAUGGGUGUGGCCCUAAAAAAAAGUGUCUACUAUGUAAAUCAUCCUUAUUCUCAUUUUUCUCAUUAUUUUUGAAAUAUGAUUAUAUUUUAAGUGCAGAGCUAUCACAUUCAUUGGAUGAUCCAUCCAUUCCCUUAACUUGAAUUUCUGAAAAAGCAAACAUUGCAAUCCCCUUUCCAGGAGGAGUUGAGACACCGUUGAUGUAAACACAAGUUUUCCACGUAGUGUGGAUAAAGCACUUCAUUAUAGCAUAGCUGGUGUUCAGAGAGUGUGCUAAAAAAAAAAGGGUGCCUCUGUUUGUUCACCAGGGGAAGGCCUUUUGACGUCAAUUCUAACUCUACAUAGAGAGGCCUUAGUAGAAUUGGAAUCCAACCUAGUUACCAUUCUGUGUUAUCACAUCCAUUUUGUUGAUAUGUAGACUGAGUCAAAUAAGCAUCCACUGAAAUUUCAGCUGGAAUUCAAAACCAGGACGCACUCACUACCUUAGCUCUAGUUCCCAGAUGGCAUUUCAUCCAUCAGCAUGAAUCUUUUUGUAUUAGUUGUGGGUUCUGAUCUGUCUGACAAAGAAAGUGUGUGGGUUGCUAGUCUGUUUUUCCCUCAAGACAGCCUAACAAACAAGCCAUCACCUGGGGGAUAAACAUUAGCCAUGGGAAAAAGGAAAUUCUAUUCCCUUGUAGGAUGCUGACUGUCACAUGCUGUGUCAUUAGUUGCUUCUGAAAGACUUUUUGAAAACACUUCUCUCCCAGUUGUAAUUUGUAUAUUGCUGUAUUUUUAAAAAAUAAUCAUUUUAAAUUCCUAAGUAAAAAAAUAAAAUGCUGCAUGAGAACAGAGUGGGAAAAGGAUUUGAGAAGCAGGGGUAAAAAUGACAUUCCGGGAGGAUGAAACUGAUGAUAAAGUAUCUUAGUCAUAUCAGUUUCAUUUUGGACAUUCUGCUAGCAAGCAUGCACUGCGUGCCCUUGCAGCAUAGACCAGGGCUUUGGCAAACUUUUUCUGUAAAGAGCUAGGUAGCAUAUAUUUUGGGGCUUUGCUGGUCAUAUGGUCUUUGUAGCAACUAAUUAGCUGGAAAGCAGCUAUAGAUUGUGUAAACAAAUGACUGUGGCUGUUUUUCAAUAAAACUUUAUUUACAAAACAAGCUGUGGGCCAUAGUUGGCCCGCCCCCUAAAAUUCAGUAGAAGAGUUUAACCUGUAGAAUUAUGCAAACCUGGGCCACAUCCUGGCUCUGAUGCUAACAACCUAUGGGAAACUGGUCAUCUUAAUGCACCUCUCAGGUCAUCAGUUUCUACUUUUGUAAAAUGGAAAUAACUGUAGACCCCCCUCCAAUGAGUUAUUGAGAAAAUCCACUGAGUAAUGCUCAAAGGGACCAGCACAGACCUGACGCAGUAGGUUCUCAUCCAAUGUCAGGUGUUAUUGUUUGCUGUGUUGCUGUGGUUCUUGGGUUAAAAAGUGCCCUUUACUCCCCGCCUCCCAUGCAUUAGCCUCAGAGAGGUAAGAGUUACCUUAACACGGAAGUCGCCUCAAGGCUGUCUUCUGUUUAAAGCCUUUCCGUGCUUUCUCAUGCCCUUCAUCAUGCCCCGAUCCAGCCCGUACUCACUCCAACAUGGUGCCCUCGGCUCUCCUCAUUCCCCCUGGGUGAGCUCCAGCCACGCUGAGGCAGCAUCUGGAGCUCUUGUAUACCUCAGGACAUUUACAUGUGCUUUUUCCUCCUUUCGGGAAUGCUGGGCCCCUCACUUUUCUCAAGACUCGUUUCUUCCUUUUGUUAUUUGCUUGUCUGUUACUUCCUCAGUGAAGGCUUCGCUCUUCUCCUGCCAAUAACCACGUCCUUCAAAACUCAGCAAAAGUAGUCAGGGACAGACCAUACCUAUCUUAUUCACAAUCGAAAUCACCGUGCUUCGUACAGUGUUCUGACACAUAUGGACAUGGAAAAAUUACAUAAUAAACACAGAAUUAGUGUGUCAGUGACGAAUUAUUAUUUAUUAUAACCAUCAUCACCGUCAUGAAUGGGACUGAAAGCAUAGGACCUAGUACAGAGCUCAUCAGUCUUCAACCAUCUUCAACCUCCUUCAUGACUUCUAUCAUAUUUAUGGACUGCUUGAAUGUACACAUUUUUUUACUCCUUUUCUUAUUGCUUACUUCCUGCUAUUUCUAAGCCAGGGAUUAACCAACUAUAGCCCUCAGGCCAAGUUUGACCCUCCACCUGCUUUUGUAAAUAAAGUGUGUUUGGAACACGGCCAUGCCCGUUCCCAUCCGUUACUGGAUUGACCAAGGAUGCUUUCACAUUACAAGGACAGAGUUGAGAAGCUGAGUAGCAACUGGCUGGCUCACAAAUCUAAAAAUAUUUAUUAUUUGAUCCCUUACAGAAAACAUUUGCUGACGCCUGUACUAAGCAGUAAAAGUCACUAAAUACUAUGUUUAACACGCUAGUUAUGUUUGUAUUUCCACUCUCAUUAAAAACGAUCUCAUAGCUAUUAAGAUUAUUUAAAUAUUUGCUCAAGGACCCCCUAAAGUGUUUUUGUGAUGGUCCUUGAACCACAUCUACUAACUCUGCACCUGGUCAAAAGUCCCCCAUGUGGGUUCCAUAUGUGGUGCAGAUCAGCACAUUUAUCCCCCCGAGGAGAUCCUUUUAGUGCAAUUCCUAAAUUUACGCAAGGGUAAAUUCAUGGGCUUUUUCCCCACAGAUGCCAUGCCUCUGCCAGGCAUCCUCUUGCUAACUUUGCCCACGAGUUGGCUGAGAGCUUGACAUGAACAUCUGCGUCAUGGAUGUCAUUAUAACAGGCGUCAAAAGUGCCACUGCUCUCCUGGCACACCUAGACUCUUGACAAGAUAGAUGAAACCUACAGCUCUCUGUAGCUGACUCCCAGAAUUCAGGGCUGCCAGCUUUGGCUCAUGUUAUGAAUAGCCGGUGGCUGUUCUGUUAGAUAUCCCUUUGUCAGGAAGAUUCUGCCUUCCAGAAUUUUCCCUAGAUUUACAUAUGGCAUUAUGAAAUCUCUUGUAGAGAAUGCAAAGGGAUUUGCAGACGUCUUUUUAUUUUUGUUUUUCAGUGACCUCCAAGUGAAGGGGAUCAGCUGGGCGUCUUCCAGUUGCAGGAAACAGAAAAUGCAUCCCCAAAUGGCUUAAGUAAUUUGACAGUUUGACUGGCUUGCAUGAGUCAAAAGUCUGGGGUAUAACCGACUUCGGGCAUUGCUAGUUCAAGGCCUCAAGUUAUAUCACAAAGGCUUGGUUCUUCCUGUAUGUUUCUGUGGUUCAUCUCAGCAAUGUUGGCUCCAUUCUGGGGCAGUCUCUUUCCUCAUGGUGACUAGAUGGCCGCCAGCAGCCCCUCCUUCAUGUCCUCCCAUGAGUAAGUCUAGAUUCAAGGAUCUGGCCUCCUUAGAAAUUCCAGUCACUGUCAUAUGGCAUCUGGUUGACUGUGCCGGUGUCAGCCCCAAUCAACCACUUUUGCCAGCUUGGUGAGAUGGUCUGAUACGUGAAGUCUAGGCCAUGCCAUCCCUGGAGAUGGGGGAGAGGGGAGCUAGUCAGCUCCUCCAGAAUUCUGUGGGCUCUGAGUGGGGAUCCUGAGACCAGGUCAGAAGCUGUUAUCAGAUUCAGAGUGAGUGGAUGACAGGGCAAAAUAGCAACAGUCAGCUUCCACAGAGAAGAAGCUAGCUCCAAUCCAAGGCUGAUUUUCCACAGCUUCUGCUUCAGGGUGUCUCAGCCUUGGUGCUGUUGACAUUUGAGGCCGGGUAACCCUUUCUUGUGAGUCUCAUUUGUGCAGUGUUAAAAUCUUUAGCAACAUCCUUGCCUCUACCUGCUGGAUAUCAAUGUGUUUCCAUUCCCCCCCCACCCCCACCUCAAAUAUGACAACUAGAAAUGUCCCCUGGGAGCAAAAAUUACCCCAGGUUGAGAACCACUGUGUGCUGGUCGCAGUGGGAGGGUGAUGAGCCAAGGGUGAUGACUUCAUCAUUCACCAGGGAAAGGUUUUGAAAAGGAGAAAGCAGUUCCUAGAAAGGGCUGUGAAAACUGACGCCCUUUUGGCGGAGCGUUCAAGGUCUUCCUCUCCUUGCGCCUUCUCCGAGCCAGCCUGGGAAAGUCCUUCAGGACCUCAGUGGUCCACCAAAACCUCUUCACAAAAGCAAAAUCAGGAGUGUGUUCUGCUUUAAGUAUCUUGGAGUCAGGAAGUUCCAGGUUUGAAUCCCAGUUUGGGCGCAUUCUUGGUCUGUGCCCUUUGGCAAGUUCCUUAACAUCUCAGAGUCUGUGGGGUUUUCUCCCCAACGUAAAACCAAGACAGUGUGGGAGCUAAUGGGAGAUUUCAAAAGCGAUGGGUGCUAACUAACCAGGAGGCAGGCCUGAGAAGGCCACUCAGAAGACCAGAGCUUUAGUUCUCGGUGUUGUCGCGAUUAUGCGGAUCAUCAACAUUAUCCAAGCCAGGUGUUCUUAACCUUGACCCUAUGAUGCUUGGGGCCGUGUGAUUCUCAGUUGUGGGGGCUGUCCUGUGCAGUGGAUGGCGGGUAGUGACAGUCCCA
rnacentral:lncRNA from 1 species